rnacentral:rRNA from 1 species
AUGCAGAUCCCUUACAUUGUGGGCGGGGAUUUUAACAUUCUCAGACAUCCCGGUGAGAAAAAUAAAAAGAUGACAAGCCAUAAAUCCACAGACCUGUUUAAUUCUAUUAUCAACACCUUGGCUCUUAGAGAGAUUCAUAUUAGUGGGGGCAAAUAUACUUGGACGAACAAUCAAGCACACCCUACUUUGGAAAAGUUAGACCGUGUCUUGAUAUCUGAGGAG